UACGGAGGGGGCUAGCGUUGUUCGGAAUUACUGGGCGUAAAGCGCGCGUAGGCGGAUCUGCAAGUCGGGGGUGAAAUCCCGAGGCUCAACCUCGGAACUGCCUUCGAUACUGCGGGUCUCGAGUCCGGGAGAGGUGAGUGGAAUUCCUAGUGUAGAGGUGAAAUUCGUAGAUAUUAGGAAGAACACCAGUGGCGAAGGCGGCUCACUGGCCCGGUACUGACGCGUGAGG
rnacentral:rRNA from 1 species